rnacentral:rRNA from 1 species
AAGAGACAGCAGUAGCCGCGGGAAUACAGAGGGUGCGAGCGUUAAUCGGAUUUACUGGGCGUAAAGCGUGCGUAGGCGGCUUCUUAAGUCGGAUGUGAAAUCCCUGAGCUUAACUUAGGAAUUACAUUCGAUACUGGGAAGCUAGAGUAUGGGAGAGGAUGGUAGAAUUCCAGGUGUAGCGGUGAAAUGCGUAGAGAUCUGGAGGAAUACCGAUGGCGAAGGCAGCCAUCUGGCCUAAUACUGACGCUGAGGUACGAAAGCAUGGGGAGCAAACAGGAUUAGAUACCCCCGUAGUCCCUGUCUCUUAUAC